rnacentral:rRNA from 1 species
UGGGGAAUUUUGGACAAUGGGGGAAACCCUGAUCCAGCCAUCCCGCGUGUGCGAUGAAGGCCUUCGGGUUGUAAAGCACUUUUGGCAGGAAAGAAACGUCAUGGGUUAAUACCCCGUGAAACUGACGGUACCUGCAGAAUAAGCACCGGCUAACUACGUGCCAGCAGCCGCGGUAAUACGUAGGGUGCAAGCGUUAAUCGGAAUUACUGGGCGUAAAGCGUGCGCAGGCGGUUCGGUAAGAAAGAUGUGAAAUCCCAUAGCUCAACUUUGGAACUGCAUUUUUAACUACCGGGCUAGAUUGUGUCAGAGGGAGGUGGAAUUCCGCGUGUAGCAGUGAAAUGCGUAGAUAUGCGGAGGAACACCGAUGGCGAAGGCAGCCUCCUGGGAUAACACUGACGCUCAUGCACGAAAGCGUGGGGAGCAAACAGG